rnacentral:misc_RNA from 1 species
UUAACUAUUAUAUAGUACUCAGACAGUAUAGACAGACAGAGUUUAGGUCCCCUGGCAGGCACGGGCCGGCCGGAGCCGGCGGUCCGAGGACGGGCCUGCCAAAGCAACAAAGGUGUAAUAAACAUAGGGUGGAAGAUAUGCCCGUCCGAGAUACUCGAGGUCCUCAUAGGGUUACUUCAGUCUAAUGAUCCUUCCGCAGGUUCACCUACGGAAA